rnacentral:rRNA from 1 species
GUCCAGACUCCUACGGGAGGCAGCAGUGGGGGAUAUUGCACAAUGGGGGGAACCCUGAUGCAGCGACGCCGCGUGGGUGAAGGAGUGCUUCGGCAUGUAAAGCCCUAUCGGCAGGGAAGAAGCAAGACGGUACCUGACUAAGAAGCCCCGGCUAACUACGUGCCAGCAGCCGCGGGAAUACGUAGGGGGCGAGCGUUAUCCGGAUUCACUGGGUGUAAAGGGAGCGUAGACGGCCAUGCAAGCCAGGGGUGAAAGCCCGGGGCCCAACCCCGGGACUGCCCUUGGAACUGCAUGGCUGGAGUGCGGGAGGGGCAGGCGGAAUUCCUGGUGUAGCGGUGAAAUGCAUAGAUAUCACGAAGAACUCCGAUUGCGAAGGCAGCAUACCGGCUCCAUACUGACGCUGAGGCACGAAAGCGUGGGGAUCGAACAGGAUUAGAUACCCGGGUA